UAGGGCGAAAGCCUGACGCAGCGACGCCGCGUGCGGGAUGAAGGCCUUCGGGUUGUAAACCGCUGUCGGGAGGGACGAAGCUCUGACGGUACCCGCAGAUAAGCCCCGGCUAACUUCGUGCCAGCAGCCGCGGUAAGACGAAGGGGGCUAGCGUUGUUCGGAAUUACUGGGCGUAAAGGGCGCGUAGGCGGUUUUGUCAGUCAGGCGUGAAAGCCCUGGGCUCAACCUGGGAUGUGCGCUUGAUACUGCAAGGCUUGAGUGCAGGAGAGGAUGGUGGAAUUCCCAGUGUAGAGGUGAAAUUCGUAGAUAUUGGGAAGAACACCGGUGGCGAAGGCGGCCAUCUGGACUGCAACUGACGCUGAGGCGCGAAAGCGUGGGGAGCAAACAGGAUUAGAUACCCUGGUAGUCCACGCUGUAAACGAUGAGUGAUGGACGUUGGCGGGUUUACCUGCCGGUGUCGCAGCUAACGCGUUAAGCACUCCGCCUGGGGAGUACGGCCGCAAGGUUA
rnacentral:rRNA from 1 species